rnacentral:rRNA from 1 species
GAUGAACGCUGGCGGCGUGCCUAAUACAUGCAAGUCGAGCGAACGGACGAGAAGCUUGCUUCUCUGAUGUUAGCGGCGGACGGGUGAGUAACACGUGGAUAACCUACCUAUAAGACUGGGAUAACUUCGGGAAACCGGAGCUAAUACCGGAUGAUAUUUUGAACCGCAUGGUUCAAAAGUGAAAGACGGUCUUGCUGUCACUUAUAGAUGGGUCCGCGCUGCAUUAGCUAGUUGGUAAGGUAAAGGCUUACCAAGGCAACGAUGCAUAGCCGACCUGAGAGGGUGAUCGGCCACACUGGAACUGAGACACGGUCCAGACUCCUACGGGAGGCAGCAGUAGGGAAUCUUCCGCAAUGGGCGAAAGCCUGACGGAGCAACGCCGCGUGAGUGAUGAAGGUCUUCGGAUCGUAAAACUCUGUUAUUAGGGAAGAACAUAUGUGUAAGUAACUGUGCACAUCUUGACGGUACCUAAUCAGAAAGCCACGGCUAGCUACGUG